UAGUCCACGCUGUAAACGAUGUCUACUUGGAGGUUGUGACCUAGAGUCGUGGCUUUCGGAGCUAACGCGUUAAGUAGACCGCCUGGGGAGUAUGGUCGCAAGAUUAAAACUCAAAUGAAUUGACGGGGGCCCGCACAAGCGGUGGAGCAUGUGGUUUAAUUCGAUGCAACGCGAAGAACCUUACCUACUCUUGACAUCCAGAGAAGCCGAAAGAGAUUUUGGUGUGCCUUCGGGAGCUCUGAGACAGGUGCUGCAUGGCUGUCGUCAGCUCGUGUUGUGAAAUGUUGGGUUAAGUCCCGCAACGAGCGCAACCCUUAUCCUUGUUUGCCAGCGAGUAAUGUCGGGAACUCCAGGGAGACUGCCGGUGAUAAACCGGAGGAAGGUGGGGACGACGUCAAGUCAUCAUGGCCCUUACGAGUAGGGCUACACACGUGCUACAAUGGCAUAUACAGAGGGCAGCGAGGCCGCGAGGUGGAGCGAAUCCCAGAAAGUAUGUCGU
rnacentral:rRNA from 1 species